AAACAAGCUGCUCACUGCUAACCUCCUAUAACACAACUGCAGCUAGUUGCAAUGAAGAAUUCUCAAAGACAAGAAACAAAGAAGUAAAGAGGAACAUUUGAAACUAUUUUAAACAUUUUACAGAGAACAAAAUUAAUAACUGAAAUAACUUACAAAACCAAAGUGGAAGCAAGCCAUCUUGAUCCCAUAGGACCGCCUAAGAAGAAGAUUAACACUGUGGUAUCUGUCUGCAUCACCUUCAGUUCUGUGUCCGAAGAUCGCAAAGAUCUCGGGUCCUUGGGCCCCACAGUGAAAGAUUUCCCGGCCUCCCCGACGACAACGACCCUCGAUCCACCCGUCGCCAGAGCCCCGAGAUCUGAAGCUUCCAAACACUAGGCCGCCUCUCAGGCCAAGCCCUUGUCAUGCUGAACAACAGCCGGACCUGAAACCCUGAGAACGGGUCCCAUUCCCGCAAAGGACCGAAGUCUGUGUGUAACUCCAGGAUGCACAGUCUCUAUAGGUUUGUGCCAACCCCUUACUAGGAAAGCCAAAUGAUAACAUGUAACCACAGUUGUCAGAGGAGGAAGAAUGCUGUGCGCAGAUGGAGAAGCAUAUGGACCACCUGAUCAGGCAAAAGGUUCUUUUGAAGACCUGGACCUGGAGUUAUAUGCAGACUUCGGUUUUUCGUGGGAAUGGGACCUGCUCUUGGGGUUUCGGGACUGGCUGUUGUUGUUUGGCAUGCCAAGGGUUCGGACUAAGAGUUUGGCUCGAAUUCAGAAGCUUAAGAUCUUGGGCUCUGGAGACGGGCGGCUCGAGAGUCGGUGUCACAGCAGGAGACUCGUGUCGUUGGGGAGGCUGGAAAAUCUUUCACUGUGGGCCCGAAGACCCGAGAUCUUUGCGAUCUUCAGGCACAGAGCUUGUAAAAAAGCAACAAAAUUGACUUUUUACAUCAUAAGCCAGCGGGUUGCUGUUAUGUCUCCUGCUUGCUGUGAAAAUGGGUGACACUUUCCUCUCCCUUAUUAGGGAGAGAGAGAACUUGUGAGUUGUUGAAUGCUGGAUGAAAUUCAAUACUCUUUGGGGUAACCGCAAGGUCUGUGUCUUUGCUAAUGUCUAGCUAUUGUGCUCGGUAGCAGGUGAACUUUUUUUUGCAAGGGGGGGAGGAGGAGCUAGAAGGAAGGACAAUGGAGUUCUCACAUUUAACUGUCAUUCAUUUUUUGGGGCAUUUCUCUGUGUUCAUGGAUGUUUACGAAGAAAAAGCAUUUCAGGAUGUAUAAUUGUGUACAUUUGUCUGAUAUUAAUUUGGACCUUUGAUCCUUUUUGAACCUUUGAACAUGCCAGAGCACUUCAGGGGUGAUGCAAUCUACCACACUGAAGAACAAAGCCAACUGAUCAUUUGAAAUAAAGAGAGGUUUCCUGUCAGUGUGCUAGAGGAGAGCCAUUGCCAAUAUCCUUCUCAAACGUCUCCUUCUAGUGUUGGAAAACUUCUCCCUGAAUCACAGUGUGGCUGCUGUCCAUGUUAUGGCAUCAUGUACAAGAUCUUCAAUGGACAAUGGACAACAAACCUAUGGGAAUUCUCCUUGGAAGUCCAUUGGGAAUGACAAUCACAUCAGUGACGACUCUGAUGAGAGCAAAGCCCGAACCAGGAAGCACUGAUGUGCCCGCAGGUUGGGCACGUUGAGGCUACUGAAGGGUCAAGUCCUUCAAUCGCUGCUCUUUGAAUGUGCUGGUGUCUUUGUAGACUACCGGUUGCCAGGCAUUGUGGUCUUUGGCCAAGGCCUCUCAAUCAGUUACGGGGAUAUAGCAUGCCUUCAAGAACACUUUCACACAGUCUUUAUAGCACUUUGUGUGGCUUCCUUGCUUUCUGGUGCCAUGUGUCAGCUUGGAAAAGAAUAUCAUCUUUGGAAGGCAGUUGUCUUCCAUCGGGACCACAUGUCCAACUCAUCGAAGCUGAGUCUUCAUGAUCAGUGUCUCUGUGCCAGAGCUCUCAGUCCUUUGUAGCACUUCUGUGGUGAGGACUCUGUCUUGCCACAAUGGCCCAUGAUCUUACAAAGCCAUCGCAGGUGGAACUGGUCAAGCAUCUUUAUAAGCCUGUGGUAUGGGGUCCAUGCCUCACAGCUGUACAACACAGAAGUCAGGAUGAUUGUUCUGUAGAUUGCCAUCCUGGUCUUUAGCCAGAUGCCAUAUUCUCCCCACACACACGUGCCCAUAGCCUAUAAAGGAUGCCUCAGCUUUUGCAAGUCUAUUUGAGACCUCUCCAUCUCGACUGCAGGAGGAGGUGAGGUAGCUUCCCAGGUAGGUGAAGGAAUCAACAUUGUUGAGCUGUGUGCCUUUACUCUGAGUUUGUGGUUUUGCAGGGUUGAUAUGGGGUGUGGGCUGAAAUAGAACUUCUGUCUUCUGCAGGCUGAUGGCUAGGCUGAAUUUCCUUGCUGCCACAGCGAGGCAGUCAGCGAGCUCCUGCAGGUCUCUUUCACUGUGCGCUGCAAGAGCAGAGUCAUCUGCAAAGAGUAAGGAUACAUCCACAUUAGACCGGAUCAUUUUGAAAACGCCGGUUUCAUGUAAAAACGAUAGGCGUCCACACUAUGCGUUUUUGAAAAUAUCUCUAUCCACACUGAAACAGAGAUUUUGGCGAAACUCCUCCUCCUGUGCAUGCACAGGACACAUCUACCGAAAACAAACAACAUGUUUGGUGUCGAAUUUCACUGUAAAAGUGCACGUUUGUGUAGUUACAGACUAGAACAACUUAAAACGAUGGACAGCUGUUGGCUCUUGUGCAGAAGAACUUAAAAUUUAAAAAAAAACAAAUACUGGAGCUUACGACAGCAACCAACAGGGAGUUCAUGGACAGAUUGACCCGGCUGAUGACAAACAUUGAAAAACUGACUAACUCUGUUGCAUUAAUAAAACAGCUUGUUAAACAUAUAAAACAUGUCUGCAUCAGUGUUAUCUUGUAUUUCCAUAAAAUGUUACAUUAGGCUGUUACACAUCUAUUGUCAGAGAAGUACUUGCAUAAAUAGGUAAACCACUUUCAUACGAGCAAGGACAGAAAACAGGGCAAAGUGAGUAUACUUAUUUAUUCAGUAAGUUAUGGGUCAAAGUAUUUGGUGAGUACAUUUCUAACUCUUCUGGCUUCAGUCUCGUUGCCAACUGUUCUGAAAUUGUUAGGUUGCAUUCAAGAAAACAAUGAAAAUAGCGCGCUACCGUCUGAUAGCGUUUUCAAAAGUCUCCGGUUACCCCGUCCACACUGAUCUGCCCAAACAGUGUUUUCAAAAAUAUCCACCUUGGAAAGCGUUUUUGAAAAGCUCCGGUUUCAGGGGCCGAGAACGCCGUUCUAGUGUGGAGGGAGCAUAAAAACAAAGAGAAAAAGCUUUGGUUACGGAUUUAUCCGGCAGAGUGUGGAUGUAGCCUAAGUCUCGUACUAUUGCUUCCAGAUCUUUGGUCUUGGCCUUGAGGCGUCGCAAAUCAAAGAAGCGUCCAUCAGUUCUGUAGUGAAUUGUUAUUUCCACAUUGUCACCUGACAAUGCUGACCAGCCUUGGCGGGGAGUGGGGGAGCAGCCUAGCUCAGUAAGGAUGCACCAAAGGCCUGUGCGACUGACAGAAUCAAAUGCCUUUGUCAGGUCCACAAAGAGGAUGUAGAGGAUCUGGUUCUAUUCCUGGCACUUCUCCUGGAUGUGUCUGACACCAAAGAUCAUGCCCACUCUCCCUCUGUUAGAUCUGAAACCACACUGGCUCUCUGAAUCAACGGCAUCAAGGAGGUGAGAGGUAACCCUGUUCAGUGUGGUAUGGUCCAUGGUCUUCUCGGUUAUGCUCAAGAGAGAUACGCCUCUGUGGUUGUCAUAGGAUGCCCUUUUCCCCUUGUGCUUGUACAGGCAGAUGAUGUUUGCAUCAUUGAAGUCCUGUGGUAAACAGACUUUCUCCCAGAACUGCUGCAUGAGCUCUGUCAGUCUCUGAAGAAGUGUUUUGCCACCCUCCUUGAAGACCUCUGGUGGGAUCCCAUCCAGGCCAAGGACCUUACCUGGCUGCAGCUGGUUGACUGACUUCCUAGCUUCUACCAAUGUGGGGGAGGGGGAUCAUGAAGGGCAUCCAAGAAAGGACGCUGGUCCAUGUCUUCUACGACUUGUCGUCUGUCUGAGAUGGCCAGUUCAGCAGCUGGUUGAAAUGUUCAGCCCAGUUUUGGAUAAUGUCGCCUUUGUCAGUGAGGAGCACUCAAUUCAAGGAGUGAACUGUUGCCAUGAUAUUAGAGGAAGAUCCUACACUGCCUUUAGAGCAUCAGAACACUUCUUUGUGAUGUUCUGGUCAGUGUAGUGCUGAAGCUCUGGGGCUUUGGCCUCCCACCACUGAUCUCUCAUCUUCGGCAGCUCAGCCUGGACCUUACUAUGGACGUGCUUUAGGCGGUCAUGCUUGGAGGUUGACUGCUUGUCACUGAGCUAGCUUGCAAAGGCUCCUUGUUUCUGCUUGAGAAGGGUGAUGAUAUCAGAGUGUUCUCAUCGAACGAAUCCUGAGGCUUUCUCUAGGAGUGCCCAGGAACAGCAUUUGCAGCAUGGUACAGGGUGUCUCUGAAGACAGCCCAUGCUGUUUCAGGGUCUGCUUCCUCAGGCAGUUGUUCCUCCAGUUUGCUGAUCGGCUCUUUUUUGAUGCUGGGGUCAGCUUAAUGUGCGAUCUGAAACAACAGCUUGCUCCUCAGCAGGAUGUGCUCAGUCUAGUAGUCUGCACCCCUCAUCACGCUGGUGUUGAUCACAUCACUGAUGUCCCGGCGCCUUGUGAUCAUGUAAUCAAUCAGGUGCCAGUUCUUGGAGGGCGGGUGCAUCCAAGUGGCCUUCUGGAUAUUUGGAAGCUGAUAGAGGGUAUAGGUGAUUGUCAGCCCAUUUUCUGCGCAGAAAGUGAGUAGUAGCUGCCCAUUUGAAAUCUCCUUUGCAAAGCCAGAAUUGCCAAUGACUUCCAGCCAAGACUGAUGAUCACUGUCUACUCAGGUAUUGAAGUUGCCAAGCAGCAGGAUCCUGUCAUCUUUGGGGACAGAGUGUAGUAGUUGGCCAAGUCCCUGGUAGAACAGUUCCUUCUGUUCAGAGGUGUAGGUCAUGGUGGUGCGUAGGCACUGAUCAGAGUCGGAUGAGUCUUCUUUUCAGAGGGAGCCUCAUUACCAUGAGGCGAUCAUUGAUGCCUCUGGGGAGGGACUCUGGGUUCCCAAUGAUUGUGGUCCAGAUGACAAAGCCAACUCUGGCUUCUCUGCCUCAUCCUUUCUCUUGCCACGCCAGAAAAAACAUGUAGCCAGCCCCUACUUCUGUGAUUUCACCAGUCUCAGCCAGGCAGGCCUCACUGAGUGCUGCAAUGUCAAUGUUUUACUUCUGAAGCCCGUGUCCUACAAGUGCAGGUUGCCGAUCUGGUCUGUUACUGGUCUUGUUGUCUGUGGGUGUCCUGACAUUCCAGGCUCCAACACAGAGUUUGCUCGGCUUUCUCGUGGUUCUUCUUUCUUUUGUGGUUCUUGAGGUUGUUCAUCCGCAACAUAGCUGUCCGGUCAGCUGCGGUAUGCUGACAGGACAGGGUGAGGCAAGCUUUCUUUAGGUCACCUUUUCCAGACCCUUUCCCAUGAGGGGGGAGCAGUGCGGUCCCUGAAGACGGCUGUUCCAUUGCCACGUCGCUGUCGAACACUACCUUUGCUCGUGAGAAGACAGCGACCAUCCUGCAUUGUCCGCCUGAAUGCAGGUCCGUGACUAGUGGCUCCCGUCACUGUCACCACUCACCCAUCGCCCCAGGUCUUCAGUUGUUAUGGAGAUUGGUGCCACCAAAUCUCGGGCAGGAGGUGUAUGAAGACCACGAGUUACUGAACCGUCACAAUCCCCCUCUCGGUCCAUACGCUGAUGUUAAAAGGGAUGCGGGGCAUAAUGGUUUGAUGAUAGCUGAACUGCAGGAGCUGCUAGUAUGAUGUUGAAUCAACACCAGGGUUUCUCCUGAAGCCUUCCCUAUGAAUGGGCAUAGCUGCAAGGCAGCACAGAUUUUAAAUCAGAGUUUUCCUUCUCCUAGGCGUGCUGCCUCUCCAGGCUAACAAACCUCACCGGCCCAAAGCAACUGGUUUCAAGGCGCCAGUGACCGAACUUCACCCCUUCUCCUGACAGUGUUAACCAUUAUGUCACGUGAAGGCCAGGAGUUGGACUUGGUUAUCAGAGGCUAAUUUGAGAUGCACACCAUUAGGAACACUUUAUAGGUAGUGGGAGUUUAUCCUGUUAUGAUCCCAGUCCCCUCCUUUGUGAGAAUCUCAAGAGCACCCGUUGGGGGGGGGAGGGUCAGAAGACCCAGGAAAUGAGAGAGAGAGAGAGAGAGAGAGAGAGAGAGAGAGAGAGAGAGAGAGAGAGAGAGAGAGAGAGAGAGACGUGCUGAAUAGACACAGGAAGUGGGAAAGAGAGAAAUGUGCCGAAUAACACGUUCCACCGGGAUGCCAAAUAAGGCGACAAUGACUAUUGUCCCAUGGAGACCACGUGUAAAGCCCUCGGGCAAAGUGGGCUGGUUGAGAGAGAGAUUGCAUCAUCACAACCUGAUUGACACCUGCGGCCCCGUGAGGAAGUAUAAAGGAGAGUCUAAGGGGGACAGCCCCUUCAGACGCACCAAGAAGACACGAGAGUGAUCCCGCCGUAGCGGGAUGCCAUUCUGAAGGAAGCCACGUGCGUUAGAUUCCGGGAUUGGAAUUUGUGGCUGGAAUCACAGAAAACCGCUUUUAACUAACAUCGGGGAGGGGGAACCCACGCUCCCCCGAUUCAACGGAAGCAGCAUAAAGACCCGGCAAGUCUUUCCUCUUCUCCCCAAUCUCUCUCUCUCUC